GUCCCUCCCUCCCAUGCUGCUACAGAGCUCCCAGCACUCAAGUGGAUUCUCCCUAAGUUUUAUUUUGUGCUUUGACCCCAAACUCUGAUAAAAGUAAGGCAAAUUUCAUUAUGUUUUAGGUCCAUUUUAUACUUAAACACUCUCAGUAGAUUUUCUAGGAUGCUUUUGCAGUGCUUAAGCAGGCCUUGAGAGACUACCAGAAGAAUGUUUCAUUGUAUUCUUUUCCCAGCCCACAGGAGUAGCCUUCCUGCCAAGAAUAAACAAGUCCUAACUCUGCAGACUCCUACACAACUAGAGGCAGUUAGUCCUUUGUCCUCCAUGGAAAAGUUUCUGGGAACCUGAUGUCAAAUGUCACCUGUGCAUACUUCCCUGAGAAGUGGAAUCUGGCUGCAGUGCAACACCAAGAGAAGCAGCAUCUGUAGGUAUCUGGAUCCUCCCUUGUCAGCAGCUCUAAGCACUGACUUGCAAUGGCUGCCUGCCUCAGUUUGCCUACCACAUGGAUGCCCAAGCUGGUCUGUGGCAACAGAGGACAAUGAAACAACAUCAACAUAGAACUUUCCACAAUGGAAACUUCUUAAUGACUGAAGAAGGUGCCGGUCAUGCUAUUUCAAUGUUCUGUUCUAGUUCCCUGUUAACCAUAGCAGAAGAGAUUAUUACAAGAAACAAUUUCAGUUUUUUAUUUAACUUCAUUGUUACAAAUAGUUUCACUCACUGUAAUUAUUUUAUGUUAUG